CCUCCUCUAUCAGCCCAUCCUUCAGAUGAGUGAUUAAAAAGAAAAAAAAAAUGAACAAACGCAUGUUAACUCAUAUCCUUACCACAAGAGGGACAUCUUUAGUAAUCUCUGAACUCAAGAGUUUUAGAAAGUUUUAAGUUCUAAAUAACUUGCCCCUGCCCUGGAAGUUAAAAAAUAAGUUAUUUAAUAUUUAGCGCCUAAAGCAGAUGACUUUGUAAUAUUGCUAGGAGGGAACAGAGGACUAGCAGCUGGGAGCUGGUGGACGGUGAGGAUUAGAACUUCAUCUGUUGAUGUGACCAACAGAAUUUCAAAGGGAAAACAGGAUUCGAAAAGCCUGAGGAGCAGGGGAAAAGGUAAUUAAUAGUAUCAAAUGCAGAGUUGAGAAGGAAUGAAAGAAAAAAGGUCAUCAGAUUGGGUAAGUAAAUGAUCAUUGGUAAUUUUGGAGAGGGUAGUUUCAGUUGAUAACGAAGUCAGAAACUAGAUUGCAAAGUGUUAAAAAGUGAGUUUGAGGAGAGUAAGUGAAAUCAACGAAGAGUUUUUGGCUGUGAAAUGAAAGAAUAAUGUAGAAGUGAAGCUUGAAGCAGCAUGUAGUGAUAGUUUUUUGUUUUUAAUAGAACUGGGGAAACCUGGGUAUGUUUGUAGGCAGCUGGGAAGGAACUAGUAGAUAGGGAGAAAUUAAAGAUUUAUGCCCAAGAGUGGUGGAGUGACAGAGACAGGAUAUAGAGAUACAGAAGAAGAGACAGAGAAUGAUUAUGAUUGUAGUGGCAACAUGCUGGAAAAAAUAGGAGGGGAAUCAAGGUGACAAAUAAAUUAACUUUGGGAUAGAGAAGGGUCACCUUAUUUGAGACUGGGGUAUGGUUUUAUAUGGGGUGAAUUGGUCUUUAAUCAGUGUAUUUCCUUUCACCAUAUCCUUUAAAUAUUUAUAGAAAGCAAAGGGCAGAUAACAGGUAAUCAGGUUAAAAUAUACUAACUAGAUGGUUUCAAUGUAAAAAAAAAUGAUCCCUUUAUUAAGUUCAAAUAAAUAGACAAAGUUCUUGACUGAUUUAGAAGGGGAACCUGGCCACUAAGUGGGAAAUGUGUUGGGGAAUAAUUGGCUGUACUCUAGGAGACCUUUACUUGACUGAACCUGCCAGCAGGGGUCAGUCCAGGUUGGAAACCUUAGAGCAGAAGGGGAUUUUUUUUCUUUUAGGUCUCUCAUACACCUAUGAGUCUUCUUGCAUCGAAUUUAUGGACAUUUCAUCCAGCAGUUCAAGAGUUCAACUGUUCAGGAGAGUUGAGGGCACAGUUGAGAAAGGAGAGACACAUUCUUCAGGUUAAUACAGAUAUAGAGAGACAAUCAUUCCAAACCAAGAAGCAACUUUCAGGAGCUGGACUGCUGGCUGGAUGAUCAAUUCUGGUUUAGCUAUUAAAUGUCUUCAAGCUUUUAGGAACUGGGGCUACAAAUACAAAAGGAAGGCAGUUCUUGCCCUCAAGGAGCUUCUAUUUUCUAUUGUGGAAUUAUAAUACAUAUGUGGAAGUAAUGACUAGGGAAGGGAAAUUUGCUCUAAGAGAUUCCAUCAGUCAAUAAACACUUUGUAAGGGUUUAUACUAUGUUUGGGCCAGGGACUGUGCUAAGUACUGGGGAUACAAAGAAAGCACAGUUCUUGUUCUCCAGAAGUUCACAUUUUAAUGGAGGGGACAACAGGCAUACAACCAUGCACCUAAAAGGCAUAUAUAAGAAUGUGUAUGGGGUGUGUAUAUACAAACACACACAUAUUAUGGAGAUUAUCAUGAAAGGAAGGCACUAACAAUUAACAGGAUUAGGAAAGGCCUUCAUAGACAGUAGAAUUUUAACUGAAACUUGAAGGAAGUUCCAGAAGCCAAGAGACAAAGUGAAAAGGAGAGCAUUACAGGCAUGGAUAACAACCAGUGAAUAGGCUUAAAAGUGUUGGGAAGAGGGAAUGUCAUGUGAGAGGAAGAAAGCCAGUGUUUCUAGAUCCUAGAGUAUGUGGAAGAAAGGCAUGAGGUAUAAGAAGAAUGGAAAAGUAGUGUUGAUUUCUUGGAAGAGGCACACUUACUAGUGAGAGAUAGAUGACUAUGCGUCAAAGAUAGGAGACCAGACUAAAAUUAAAGAGAUUUAUUUUCAUGUUAAGGAGUCUGCUCUGGGUAAUAGCAAAUUGAGAUAGAUUCCUGGUGUAUAGACAUGUUUUUUUAUAACUUUUCAGUUGUGUUUAGAACAUACACUCAGCAACGUUCGAAGAAACUUAGGAUAGAGUAAGAAAAGCUUUUCUCAAGAGAGGGAGGGACAGAGAACAGAGAGAGGGAUCAGUCAAGGGAGAAAGGAGAGUAGUUGGAAUGCUAUUGUUAAGAUUUAUUACCAAAGCAAGAAAACAUUUCCUGUUCAAGGCCAAGAGACAAGAAAAAAGACUUAAAAAAAUUUUUUUUUAAAUUCUUUCAGAUAAAAUUGCAAGGUCUGGCUAUUGAAGGAUAGCAAAUAGUUACAGCACUGGCUGAAACCUUCCUGUUUACCAUGGCCUUGAAUAGAAGCUGAGAACAUUCUUAAACUAGGCCACCAAAUGGUUGGGGGAAUUUCUACAUUGUUAAUACAUUACAAAAUAAUUGUGUUUCCUAUUUUUCCUCCAUGGUAGGAAGGAGUGGAAAAGGAUUUUAAAUGUAAACAGAGGAUUUUCUAUUUGAUUUUAUAGGUAGUAGGGAAUCACUGGAGAUUACUGAAUGGGGAAAUGGGGAGUGGGGCAGAGGGUGUCAGAUUGUUGUCAGACUGGUGCUUUAGAAAUAUCACUUUCACAAAUGAAUAAAAGAUGGAUUGGAGUGAGGAGAAUCUUGAAGCAGGGAGGCCAAUCAGAAGUCUAUUUUAAUAGUCUAGGUAUGAGGUAAUGAGGUGAAGGUCAUGGUUGUGUUAGUAGAGUAGAAACAAAAGAGAUGUAGUGGGUAGAAAUGACAAAAUUUGACAUUGGAUUGGAUAGUGGAGUGAGAAUGAAACAGAUGUUGAAGAUGACAGUGUGAACCUUAAAAAUUCCCAGACCCUACUUCAUAAGAUUGGAUUAAGACCAUUCCCCAUUUGGGCAGUGAACUCUACUUAGAUCAGGAAUGUGAGAACUCUACUUCACCUACUUAAGUCUGCCCUAGGGGAAGAUAAAGUUGUAAACUCUUUUCUGAACAAUGAAAAGGACUUAAACCCAUACUUAUAGUAAGGCAAAAAGUUCUUAAAAUAAGUACCUAUAAAGGUCAAGCAUCUUGUGAAUUUACAAGGAACAAAGAGCUGAGAAACUUACUCAGAGCUUUCCUGGCGGGAAUUACUCAAAAAUUUACACCUUCUUAGGUGUGGACUGUCUUUUGACAUGGUCUGUCUUUUGAAAAACGUCUACUGUGAUUGGUAGAUGGAAGAACUUAGGGGAGGUGACAUAGGAGAAAAUUCCCUAUAUAAGGAGAUGACAGGCUCUUAAAGAGAAGACAGUCUCUUGAAAACAGUCUCUAAGGAGGCUGUUGGGAGAGAGCUCUGGAAACAGGCUCUUGGGACAGUCACUGGCUGGAACUCCCUUUGAGGAGGACUCUGGCUGGAAUGCCCUCUGAGGAGACUCUGUCUCUCUCGGGUCUCCCUUGGGACAGUCAUCUGGGAAAGGCUGCCUUGAAGGGUCUCUCUCUCUAGACUCUCUCAGGGACAUUCGGAUUCACAUUCAGAUUCAGAUUCAGGAUUGAGCUGGUGAAGUCAGUUGAGAUGGAGCUGGCCUGGUGUCACUAGAAUCCUUGUUUGGACAGAUCUUGUGGUGAGUGAUUAAGGACUGACUGAUCUUUUCUCUUAGGGCUUAGGCCUGGGUUGGCCAGGACUGGCCAGGGCCGGCUUAUCCCUUUCUCAUUAUUCCCUUUUUCUCUCUCUCUUUCUUUAAUUCCUCAUUGUAUUAAUUAAUUAAAAUCUCUAUAAAACCCAGUUGACUUGGGUAUAUUUCAUAAUUGGGAAUAUUUCCCUGGUGACCACCUUAUAUAUUUGAUUUGAAACAAGACACUGUAGUGAAAACAUAUUUUCUGCGGUCACAAUUUACUCAUCCACUCUUAUAUCUACCACAAUUUAUAGUCUUCCACUAUUGUAAUCACUACAAUUUAUAACCCCCAACUAUUUUAAUUAUUACAACAUCAAGGUUGUUGAUGUGACAGGGAAGGUCAUGGCACCCUGGACAGUAAUAGGGGAAUUUGGAAGAAUUUGGAAGAAGGGACAUCCAAGAGAGAGUUAUUUAUGAAGCACUGUAGUUUAAGAGAGACUGAGUCUAGAUAUGUAGAUCUGGGAAUUGGCUUCAUAGUAAUUUAAUUGAAAUCAUAGAAGAGUAAGAGGGAUUUUAAUAUCCUUUCCUGUAGCACCACAUCUGGUUUCCUGGUGAAUGGCUAAAUGGGAUAUGAUGUAUGGAUUACCUAGAUAAUUCUUACCCUUCUUGAUCUUUCUGCAGUAUUUGACACCAUUGAAUAUCUCCUGGGCACUUUCUUCUGUGAUUUUAUGAAAUUGUUUUCCUCUCUCCUGGUUUUCCUACAAACUCUCAGGCCAUUUCUUCUAUAGACUCCUUUGCUGGAUCAUAAUCCAUGUCCCAUUCCCUAACUGUAGGUGUUACUGAAGACUCUGUCCUAGAAACAAACAUUGCUCUCUAUGUAGCUUUGAUUGGGGGUAAUUCAUAAACUCUCAUGGGUUCAGUUAUAUCUAUGCAGAUAACUUUGAUGUCUCUAUAUCCAGAUGACUUUGAUGUCUGUCUAUCUGUUCUCUCACUACCAACUACUUGUUGGAUAUCUCCAUAUCUAUUAGAUAUGUUGGAUAUAUAAUAAAAUGAGGAACAUAAAAAGCAUCUACCUUUCAAGAAUGUUGUGAGGAUCAAAUGAAAUAAUAUUUGUUAAGUGUUUAGCACCGAGGCUGGCACACAGCAAUUGCUUAAUGAAUACCUGUACCCUUACCAUCAAAUUCAACAUUUCAAAAUAUAACUCAUUAUCUUCUUUAACUACUCUACUCCUUCAAUUUUGCCUAUUUCUGUUAAGGACAUCUUUAUUCUUCCAGUUACCUAGGAUCACAACCUUGGCAUCCUCCUCCAUUCUCCCUUACCCUGUAUCUAUUCAGCUGCUGAAGACUGUCAAUUCUACUUUUAUAACUUCUCUCACUUCUGUUCAUUUUCCUCUACCUGCAAAGCCACCACCUUAGUUUUGGCUUUCAUUACCUUUCUUCUCUGUAAUUGCAAUGUUUUCCUAAUUGAACUACCUGUUUUUAGUCUCUACUUUCCAAUCUAUUCUCCAUACACUUCAAAAUAAUUCUCUUAAAACCCCUUUGACCAUUUCACUCCCCUGCUUAAGAAUCUUAGGUGACUCUAUUGCCUCUAGGAUAAAAUGUGAAUUCUUCAAUUUAGCAUUGAAAUCUUCACAAGCUAGCUUUAGUUUUACCUUACUUUAAAAAAUGUUUUAUUAAUGCAUUUUGCUUUUACAUCACAGUAAUUUUCAGAUAUUCUCCAUUGCCACCCCCUCUCUCCUUAGUAACAAAGGAAAUUGUAAUGGAGGGGGAGAAAUGGAGACCCCCACUACUUAAUUCAGGACUAAAGUGAGUUAGAGAUGGAAUGAAGCUAAAGGUGGAGAGAGGGGACAUUGUUUCUCCCUUCUCUUUCCCUAGUAAACCCACACAGGCUAUCUUCAGAUUCACAGACUAUAAUUUCUUGAGAGACUGGGUUGAAGUAAAAUCCAGAACUGAAAUGUUUCUUCUUCCUUGGGUGUAAGACUCUAUGGCUUACAAGACUCAUCCACAGGGUCGGCCAGUCCUGUGACAUCCUGUUUGGGGUAACGAAAAAUGAAGAGUAACAAAAGAAGAGAUGGACACUAUAUGAAAACAGAGAAAUAGUGCCAAUUUUAUUUGCUUCACACAGAACUUUUAUAGGCAAAGACUUAGACUACUUAGACAAAACCCACAGGAAUUUAUGAUUCUUCAUUCCAGAAACCCUAACCUUGGUCCAGGGAUAGGCAGGUGUUCAAAGGUUAACCCAUAUCCUUCGUUUAUUACAAAUACAAACAAGGGGAAGAGGGGCAGAGAAGGGGAUAAGUGCCCACCUAAUCAUAAAUUGCCUUUCAUAAGUGUUAUCCUGCUUCCUUCAUGUUUACUGUUCCAUCCUUGGUCCCAGGAUGGGUAAAGAUUAAUCCUCAUCUUUGUCUGAAGCAAAGACAAGCAAAUCCACAACUUUAUCUUAAGCAAAUACAAAUAAAGAAAAGAGGAGGUAAUCCUCGACUACACUUGGGGAGGAAAUAUAGUUCUCCUCUCCAAAACUUCAGGUCUCUUUCCUUAAAUAUUAUGAGCAGGCACUUGAUCUAUAGAAACAGUUAUUUAUUCUUGAGGAACAUACAAAGGUAGGGUAAGUGAGAUUGUGGAAUAAAGUAAUGGGAAAGUGGGAAAUAGGAAGUCCCUAAGGAUUAACAGUUGAACCCCUUCUCUCCAAAUCUUGCAAGGUCAGACUUCACCUGCCUGACCCUCUGGAGUCAAUUGUGAUAGAUUUCCUGACUUCUAACUGUCCUAAUUAUGAUAUGAAGUUCAAGGACUAGUUUAGAGGGAGAGAAGAACUCUUCCUGGGAUGGAUAGCUUUCUAUCAAAGUCCUAUCCACUCCUGUUGUCUUCUUCUGGAUUCAAGAGGCCUGGAUUCACAGAAGGAUGAUCAAGACUCAGAGGUUCUCUCAGCCCAACCUCUCUGGAGGGCUCCUCAAAGAGAAGUGAGUUAACUGCUUGGAUUCUCUCAGCUCCUCAGUUCUUUCAACGGAAUUGUCAGUCCUUCCUGCCCUUCCCUGGCUCGACCUGGUUUUCCAGCAUAAUGAAUCUGCUUUCUUCUCUUAUAAAAUCCAAAAGAUAUAAUUGUUAUGAUUGAAAUUAUCUGGAGGCUGUAUUUAAAAUUUUUUUUAAUAUUAGUUUAUUUAUUUUCUACUCAAGAAAAUCUAACUAGCCAUGGACUUUUUUCCUGCCAGGGGCAGACUGGACUAGAGAGAAGGCAUAGCUCAAGGAGCUGAUUCUGUUUCCAGAGAGAGAGCCAGAUUUCCCAUUGCAUGAGUCAAUAUAUACCCCUUCUUACAUCAUCAUUUAGUCUCUCUCCUGGAAUCAUCCUAAGAGGUUUGUCACUGGAACUUAAGAGACUUCCUCCUGGGAAGUGGCCGGUCUUAUGGAUGCCAAUUCACCCUCUUCCUCCCCACAAUGUGGUUGCCUAGCACUUCGUGCACUCUUCUCAGCAUGAUAUCUGGCUAGCUGAUUUAAUUAUCUCAUCUCUUCCAGUGGGUCAAGUGAUCACUUUGCUUGUCCAUAAUAUCAUUAUAUUCAACAAGGACAAAAGAUUUAGACAAAAGAAGGGAGGACUCAACAGCCUGGGAGACAGUCAGCUUGAGCUUUAGCCUUAAAAUCAAAAUGUUUGCACUCUAAAAUUAAAAGGUUUUUUGGGUCGGCUACAGGGUACAAUUUAAUAUUAAUUUUCUAAUGAUCCCUUCUGACAUUAUAUGUAUUCGGUACCCAAAGUCCUUUAGUAAUCCAACAACAAAAAAAAGUAUUUUCUAAUAUUUUUUUCCUAGAGGCUAAGAUUGGUCAUUACAAAUAUGAAGUAUUUAACUUGCUUUUGGUCUUCUUUAUAUUUUAAUGUUAUAUAUCAAAUGAGUAUUUUUUUCAGUUUGCAUUAUUUCACUCUGCAUCAAUUUAUUAACACCUCUUCAUAUUUUUCUGUAAUACUCAGAUAGUCACUUGUUCUUAUGAUAUAAAGAUAUUCUAUUAGAUUCAUAUAUCACACAUUUUUAAAAAUCAUUCCCCAAUUGAUUGGUCCCUACUUUGUUUCCAGACAUGAAAGGGCUAUUGUGACUCAGUAGUGGGUUAAAGGGUAUCCAGGAUAGCUUAUUGUACAUCUGUUCCCCUCAUGAACUAUUGAAUGGUUUCUUUGCUAUACCUGGAACUUGAUUUUUCAUCUCCACUCCUCAUGCCUUUGCCUGGAUUAUCCUUCAUGCCUGGAAUAUAUAUUCAUGCCUCCUUUCUUAUAAUUCUUAACUACCUUUUAGGCUCAAUUCACAUGCCAUUCCUUAUGGAAAAUUAUUAAUAGUUAUUUUGAUCUGAUGAGUGCUCUUAAAAUUAUCAUUAUUAUCAUUUAUUAAUAUGUUAUUUUCCUUCCAUAGAAUUUAAGCCCUUGAAUUUGUGUAUACUUAAAAAUAUUAUUCCCAUUACCAUGCAGAAUACUUUAAUACAGAGUGGAUGCUUAAUAAUGCUUAUUGGAUUGAAUUGAGGUCAGGCUACUUAAAUUACCUGGAAAAAAUAAUACACAGUAAUUUCUCCCUCCCUGAAUCUAUGAUAAGCCUACAUUCUCUACCUUUCUGAACCUGCAUCUUCCAUAUAUGCACAACACACAGACAGAAGGACACACACACACACAUACACACACACAAAUCAUAAUGAGUUAGAUGAAAACCCAAUUCAUCCUGAUUUCCCUUUUCUAAUUCUAGGUUUUCGUUCCUUGUCUCAUCUUCCUUUUUUUGCUGGAGAACAAAGUCCUUUCUUUAGGAACUUCAGAUUUACCUCCCAGGUCAAAAUUAUUUUCCUUGAAGUCAUGCAAACUUUGUGGUAUCUCUGGGUGGAAUUGUCAGGUCUUAUUUCUCUUUUUUCUUUGCAUAUAUGCUCUUGCAUAUACAAACUAAACUUCCUUUACGCUAAAAUCUUCUUGAUUCUAUCACUUUCUCUUGUCUAGUGAAGUCAGAGUGAUUUUUUUUAGGUUCAAUUUCUUUACAUUUUUUCCCUCCUCACCCAUGAGUGAUUUGGAGCUCAGUUCUACAUUUCAGUAUCUCACUUUCUUAUAUCAGUAACAUGAACAUUAAGUUAUCCAAUACCCCCCCACCCACCCCAAUGCAAUGACUAUAUUCUAGUAAAAAUAAAGAUAAUAAUUUUAAAGUUUUUGAAAUUGUUUUCAAAAGUAGGCAUCAUAGCAUAAUGGAAAGAGAACUAGCCUUAGAGUUAGGAAUGUCCUUCCUAUACCUUCUAGCUCUGUAACUGGGUAAGUCACAACUCCUCUAUUCCAGACAACUCUCUAAGUUUAUAAUAAUAUUUAGCCUUCAUAUAGCACUUUACAGGUUUGCCAAAGCACUUUACAGAUAUCUCACACCAGCCUUGGGAGGUAGAUGUUAUUGUUUUCCCCAGUUUACUAUUGGGGAAACUGAGGCUGACGAAGGGUCAUACAGAUAGUAAGUGUAUGGAGCUGGAUUUGAAUUUAGGUCUUCCUAAUUUCAGACCCACUACUCUAUCCAUUGUAUUGUUUCCUCAGAUAUAAAACUAUCUUUAUAUUUGACUUUAAAUUGUCCAGAGCAUAUUGAUCUGCCUUGGUAGAGGAAAUUCCUCACCAGCAGCUCCCUAUAACAAUGAAAUCUGAGUGCUUGAAAAAACAAAUUACCUUAGGAACUGAAGAUAAGAAAAAAGCACAGUUUUAAUGCACUUUUAGACAUCCAUUGUUUGCUGGUAUCCAUCAGCUAAACAUAGCAACAAUGGAAUUGCAUUUCUCUUAGUAAUGGGCUGGAAAAAAUCUCAUGCAUUUGUGAAUCUGUUCAGAACUUUCCUGGGGUAAUGUGAGACUGUAUACUAAUAAUACCUGAUUUUUAUGUAUCUCUAGUUUGUAUUCCUAGGUUCCCUUGGACUGUAGUUAUUGAAUUCAAUUUGAAUUCAUCACAUACUUUCUGUGUGAAAAGCAUUGUAAAAUGACUUAAUAGUAAAAUAAUAGGCACAGUUAAAAUGGCUGCCUAUGUUUUGAUAGCAAGAGCAAAUUUUGGGAACAUAGGAGCAGAAGAAUCAGUAGGAGUCCACUACAAUGGUUUUAAGAAUAAAAACCUUAAUUAGUUUAGGGGUGUAGUUGGGGGAGAGGGUAAGUAGAAAUGUAAAAUCUAAGCAGUGCUGCAGAAUUGAGGGGGAGGAGAAUCUUUUGUUUGUGGUUUCCCUUGAGCUGCCAUUUUGUUACCCAUGUACAUAUUGGAUCCUUGUAUACUCAUUUUCAUUUCUUGGAGUACAAAGAACUACAACAAUGAUUUGCCCUGGUUUGUGGGCUAUUUUCACCAAUUAAUAUUUGAGAUUCAGUUGAAAAAAUGUUACAAACAGCAUUUUUUCAAACUCUAAACAGGAUUGCAGAGGGAAACAUUCCAAGAGUCAGUAUAGAAAUGAAUUUUAAGACUUAAUUUUUACUUACAUCAUUUAAAAAAAACCUACUGUUAAACUUCCUGCUUUAUGCUCUAUCCUUGUGAUUACUAACAUACACAUUUUUUUUUCUCUUUUCAAGAAAGGUGAUUUUAAAAAAAUUGCCAAGAUAGCAAUUACUUACAUCGAUCCUUUGAAAAUGAAGUCACCAGAAUAGUAAUGCUGUUUUAUGAGUCAAUUGAGAGUAGACUUAUUAUCUUGAUAAGUAAUUAUUAAAUAUAGAAUCAAAGGAAAUUUUUAUCUUUAAAACCAGUAUUUCUUUUUCAAUAUCGAACUUUCCACAGAGCUCUGGUCUUUUCUUUGCAAAAACUUGGAAAUCUUCUAUUUUGCUGAAUGCCCAUACUUUCCCUUGGAAGUAUAUAGUCAGUUUUGAUGGAUAGCUGAUUCUUGGUUGAAGACCCAGCUCUCUUGCCUUUCUGAAAAUCAUGUUCCAUGCCUUACGAUCAUUCAGACUGGAACUUGCAAGGUCUUGUGUGAUCCUGAUUGGCAUUCCUUUAUAUCUAAAUUGUCUUUUCCUGGCUUCUUGUAGGAUUUUUUCCUUUUGUUUGAAAGCUUUGGAAUUUGGCAAUUACAUUCCUGGGAGUUGUCUUUUGGGGAUUUAGUGUAGAGGGUGUUUUGUGAGCUCUGUCAGUGUUCUAGAAUCUCUGGGCAAUUUUUUUUUAUUAUAUCUUGUAUUACGAUGUCGAGUUUGCUGUUUAUUUCUGGGUUUUCUGGAAGUCCAAUUAUUCUUAAAUUAUCUCUUCUUCCUCUAUUUUCCAAGUCUGUCACCUUGUCAGUGAGAUAUUUUAUGUUCUCUUCUAAUUUCUUUGUCUUUUGGCUUUGCUUUAUUAAUUCUUGCUCGGUGUUUUCGAGUUGCCUGAUUCUGACUUUUAAAGCCUGGUUUUCCUUUUCACUUUGGUCAAACUGGUUUUGUAGAUGCGUGAAUUUCUUUUGCAUUAUUUCCCACUUUUCCUCCCAGAGGGCUUCCAUCUUUUUGAUCCUUUCCGAUUCAAAUUCUUCAUGGGUUUGUGGAGAGUUUCCAUUUCCUUUGGAAGGUUUCGGAGCAUUUGCUUGUGUUUCCUCUUCUAUCUCCUAUGUAUUUUGUAUUUUUGCUCCAUAAAAUGUGUCCAAAGUCGCCCCCUUCUUCUUGUUCUUCUUGGAAUUUUAAGGCUUUUGUACUUCUGUGGAGUUUGCCAUCUCUAUCUGAGUGUGGAGGACUUGCUUUUCUUAUCUCUGUCUGGUGUUCAGAGGUUUUAGCCCUAGGCAGAUUGUCCGUUCUAUGCAGUUGUUGUUCUGUCUUCCCGGGGAAGCCAGGAAUUGCUGGUGUUUCCGUUUUACUGUCCUCCUCGGUUCCCUCCCAAUGCUUCUCCAUUGCCUUACUUCCACACUCUGAGCCUGGCUUGGCCCUUUCCUCAGGGUGUUUGUUUCUGUGCCAUAGCCGUCCAGAAGAGCCAGCACUCUGAGGGGGGAGGUGCCGCGGCUUUCUGGAGCUCAGAGGGCUCCUGAUAAGAUUAGCUUUUGCUGGGUUGAACUGAGUAUGCCUUGAGGCAGGGACCUUCCAUGAGCCUUGGAUGGAGGGAUCCAGCCAGGGGGUUACAGGCUCCCCUCGUCUCUCUUUGUUUCCCUGCUGUCUGUGUUGGGUGCCCCCUCAUCUGAGUCAGGUUGUUUUCAGGAAGCGGCCUUCAGAAUAGCCAGCCCUGAGGCUCUGAGGUUCCCUCUGCUGCCUUGGACUUGGCGCUCUGGGUUGGGGGGGAUGGGUCCUGGGACCUUCCUUCUGCCUACCCCUUAGGUCCAAGUGAUCUCGGGUUCUGGCUUUUGGGGGGGGCAUACCUUUUGAUCCAGGUCCAGGAGGAGGAUUCCCAGGGUCUAUGCUGUUGAUCGUUUUGAAUUUCAGUGCCCUAGGAGCAUAUAGUUUGAGUUCGGUAGGGAAGGGUUUCCGGAGAUCUGAACUUUAGCUUUCUCUAAGCCGCCAUCUUGACCGGAAGUCUUUUAUCUUUUUUUUAAGACAAAGGAAGACCUGGGUUUAAAUCCUACCACUCUGAAAUUGACUGUGUUUCAGUUAGCCUUUAUCUCUUUCAGACAACUUCCUAGGAUUUACUUACUAAGUUAUGGAUGGGAGUUCCCAUAAAGGGAAUUAUGUAAGCAAGCAAUCAAGAAUUUAUUAAGUGCCUGCUAUGUGCCCAUCUUAUAUAAGUUGCAGUUAACCUUUUGUUAGUGAUUUGCCUACCUGUACUAUGUCUUUUUAUAUGUACCUAGGCUGACUAAUUGGCAAACUUUUUAUGUGUUCACUCUUGACAAAUUCAGUUUGGGAUAUUUUUAUUUUAAAGUGUCAUUAAAUCAUCCUAGAUGUGAUAUCAGGCAGUCAGUUUUAAAUAUGGGAUGUCACUAAGAUAUGGUAAAUGAUGUCACUGGAGUAUAUGAGGUAGUUUUGGAAAAGAGUUGAGAAGAGGACCAAGGAUAGCAACUUGGGGAAUGGUCACAUUUUUGUAGGCAAGAAGAGAAAGAAUUAUUUAGAGACUUAAAAUUAAAAAACAUAUUCUAUAUUUGACAUAUAGCAAUUCAUGUGAAUACGUUUAUUUUCAAGGAAAAACAGAAAAAAGGAUUGUGUAUAAAAUCACAUCUGUUAUAAUUUGCUUUUUAAAAGACAUUAUAAAUUCAAUGAGUUUGUUUUGAAGCUGUCCAAUCAUUUAUGUAUCCCUAUAAAUCUUGAUCUGUUCUUCAUUUUGUUUUUAUUUUAAACCCUAUGUUCUGUCCUAGUAAUAACUCGAAGCAAGAAGGACAAGGGCUAGACAACUGAAGUUAAGUGACACAACUAGGAAGUACCUGAGAGGGAGCUUCAGAGUCAGGAAGAUUUGGAUUCCCGUCCCACUUUUGGCAUAUACUGACUAUAUGACCUGAGAGUAACUGAAUUCCAAAAGUCAGGACAUUUGGAAACAGUUUAGGAUGCAAUGGAUGACCAUGCCUUCUUCAAUGUGAGACCAGACUCUAGGAAUUCCACAGUGCCUACGUCAGCCUUCUUCAUGGCCUUUGGAACAAAUUGUUCUAGUCUGCCCAUUCCACCAGAUGAAAUAUUCACAUGUUUGAGAGUGAGAUCCACACAUAUGGUUAACUUCAUGAAGUAACAAGGCACCAUGAAGGAGAGAUGGGAAAUAGAAUUUGCCAGGCAAGCUGAAGCACUACCACCCUCACUUUGACUAGCUUCUCCCCUCUGUCCCUGAUGGGGAUGACUGAGGAUCUUGGACCCAAGAAUCUCUGCAAAAGUAAUGCUGCUAGCAUUGACUUCCAGCAACUAUAGCAAUCAUUGUGGAAAGCAAUCCCUGUGGAGAUAUAGUCUCAAAAAUGCUCCAGAGAUGCUCCAGCCUCAGCUUUUGAAGAUCUUGAAAAGAAAAUUCCUGUCUUCAAAGUCCCAAGAACUAUUAAAUGAUUCAACAUAAGAAACCGAUAUGAUUUUAUCAGUGGAAAUGAAAUUAAAGAAGAAAUGUUACCACUUAUUUUGCCAUUGCAUUCUGAGCAUAAUGGAACCUUUCCAUCUGAUUUGCAAUUGAAACCUUUUAUGUGUUAUCUUCCCAUAUUAGAUUAUGAGGUCCUUGAGAGCAGGAUCUAUCUCUGCUUUUCUAUUUGUAUCCCUAAUAUAUUGGCACAAUGUUUUGCAAAUACUGAGAGCUUAAUAAAUGUUUUAUUAAUUCAUUCCUCUUAAUGUGAAUAAUAGACUAAUUUGAUGGUUUUCUAUUAUCAACACUUCAUUUGUACCCAUAGUUAAUUUUAAGAAUUUAUUUUGGUGUUUUGAUUAAUAAAGGACAAAUUAAUUUAAUGGUAUCAAUAAAAUCAUUCCCUAUUAAAGUCUUUUCCUACAAUGAGUCAACAAGAUGUGGAGGUAACCCUGGAUUCUGGAAGGGUAUGCCAGUGAAGUACAAAUUUCAGCAAUUUUUUACCACCACAGAAAAACUCUGGUCCUUAUAUUCAAUUAAUCAAUCAAUCAACCAGUGAAUAAGCAUUUAUUAAGAACCUAUUGUGUAGGUUACCCAGAGACCAAGUCAAGAAUGGAGACAUUCAUGAUCAGCAAGCUGGUUACAAGAUGGUAGAGAAAGUAUAAAAUGGCCCUCAGUUCUUCUUCCACUUUUGCAGUAAUCUUGGCAGGAAGGAAGAGAUUUUGAAAAGAACCACAGAGUUCCAGGCUGUCUAUAAAUAGUAAAUUAACUGUUUGUAGUAAAAAUCUAAGAUUAUUAUGCAAAAAUUAAUGAUAAACUUGAGAAUGUCCACAGGAGAACAACAAAGAUGGUAAAAAUUCCUGAGUCCUUGCCAUAGAAGUAAUUGGGAACUCUGGAAAAAAGAAGAUUCAAGGGGAAUAAGAUUGUUGUCUUCCAGAAUUUGUUAAAAAGUGGAAUGGAGGGGGUAACUAGGUAGAAUGAGAGUCAGGCCUAGAGAUAAGAUGUCCUGGGGUCAAAUCUAGCCUCAGACAUUUUUUAGCUGUGUGACUCUGAGCAAGUCAUUUAACCCUCAUUGUCUAGCCCUUACCACUCUUUUGUCUUGGAACCAAUAUACAGUAUUGAUUCUAAGACAGAAAGUAAGAGGUAAAACAAAAAGUGAAAUAGACUACUUUGAGAUAUAGUGGGUUUCACUCCUUGUAGAUUUUCAAGCAGAAGCUGGACCUCUGCUUGUUGGUUUAGAUUGGGCUAGAUGGCCUUUGAGUUCCCUCCCAAUUAUAAAAUUCUAUUAUUCUGUGAAUCAGCAUACUACUAGAGGAACUGAAUUGUGUUAACCAUGACAUUCUUAUCAUAAAUGAAAGUGGGAGAUAAAAGAAGAUUGUAUCAAUCAUCAAUCAGCAUUUAUUAAAUACCUCUAGUGCUCCAGACACUUUACUGGGAAAUGAAGAAAGAAAUCCAAAGAAUGAAAUAGCCUACUUAAAAUAAAUUCAUAAUCUAAUGAGGAAAGUGACAAGUAGAGAAAAAAAUUAUACAUGAUGUAAAAUUAAGAAACACUUGCAUAUAUGUAUAUAUAAAAAUACAUUAAAUACAAGAUAGUUUGGGGUAGAAGGCACUAGAAGCUAGGAGUGGGAUCAGGUGGGACCAUGUAGAAGAUGAUGUCUGAGCUGUAUCUUAAAGGAAAAGGCAGAUUCUUAAAAGCAGAAGUAAGGAGGGAAGAUAUUUGGUUCAGGUCUGGAGAAUGGCUAGUGCAAAUCAAUGGAAAUAGAAGGCAAAGUUUUGAGAAUGAGAAACUGGGAGGCCAUUUGGUUGGAUCCCAAAGUGCAAAUAAAGAAAUCAUAUCCAAUAAUACUGGAAAAUAGGUUGGGACCAGAUUGUACAGGAUUUUAAAAUGUAAAUGGAAGAGUUUCUAUUUUAUCUUAGAGACAAUAGGAGAUUGUUGGAGUUGGUAGAGCCAGACAUUCACAUGGUCAGAUAUUCACUUAUAGAAAAUUUUUUUGGUCUCAUUGUAUAGAAUGGAUUGGAGUGGUAAGAGACUUCAGGAAGGGAGACCCAUCAGAAGAUUUUUCAAAAAUUUAGGAAAGAGCUGAUGAGCAAAGGUUAUAUGAUUAUUCAGAAGGGCUGGCUAUAAGAAAUCUUGUAAUGGUAGAAACAGGAAGUGGCAAGUGAAUGGAUUUGUGGGGUGUAUAAUUGAUAAUCUGUUAACCUUAAAAAAGCCUACAUUUCCCAGGAGCCACUGACUUGCUGUCAUUAUGUACUUCCUGUAGACAGGGGAUAAAUUCAGUGGGCUUUCCUGCUUUCUUGCUCAUUGACUUCCUGGCAAGUAUGGUGGAGGCAAGCACAGGGAUUUUUAAUAAGCUGAUUAGCCAUGGGCAUGUGGUUGGUUUUAAAAAAAUUGUUAGCUUUUUUUCCUUUACUUCUAAUGAUCAUUAAUAAAUCUCUUAAAAUAUAAUAUUUUUAUUAUUUGGGAUUAAAUUUAAUUUUUACAUUAUUUGGUGACCAGAAGUUGGAGAAGGGGUUCUCAAUUUUUUAAGAUAGCCUAGAUAAAAUUUUAAGCCACAUUUCUCCUGCCAUGGCUUUUUCCCCUCCCCUCCAAGCUCCCCCCCCAGCCCCCCGCUUGCCUCAUAAACUUUGAGAGAACUCCAAACUCUCUUCCAGAGCUGCUGCCCUACUUCUGCCCUUUCACUCCCCACUUUUUUCUGGUUGCCUGCCCUAUUGGCCUGACUAUUUUAGUUUGAAGGACUUGAAGGAGAAGGGAUAAGCUGCUUCUCUCACCCAUCUGCUUGAGUAGCAUUCCUUGUUGCUACUUGUGUUACUGCUGCCAAUCCAAUCUCCUGGAUUGUUCCAGCCAUCCACUCUUGAUCUUCCUGAUCCCUCUUACUCCUGAUCCCACUCUCCUUCUGUUAACUCCAAGCAUCCUUCUUCUGUAUUCCUGAUACUGCUUACUCUGGCCCCAUCCCUGGCCCCAGCACCGGCCCCAACUGCUGUUGUUGAUCCUGCUGAGUUGCUGGUAGCUGCCACUGUAUCUUUGGAACUCACAAACUGGGAGUCCUUGGAGCUCUGGGCAGCAGGUAAAAACCAGGUUGUGUUUUCCUUAGGCAACAAUUAGCCUCCAAACUCCCUGUCCAUGUGGCAAUUUUACCUCUAGGGGAAGGGAAAGGAAGGUUACUCCUUGAAACAGGAAGUAAAAUUGCAAACUUGGCACACUCUAUGAAAGAGCAUUGAUUACUUAUCUCAAACAGCUCCCAGUUUUAGGAUGUUUUUUCUUCCUACCAUUCCUUGGUACAUUGGUUCUUUCAAUUAUCUUGUCUGAAAUUCAGGGGAGAAAUUCAUCUCUCUACAACCCUUUGCCAUUGGGCCUGCCCAACCUCUAUAAUACAUCCAAUCUCCACACUAUGCUCUCCCUCACUAUGGGAUUGUGAAUCUUAAAAACUGCUCAGACUGUAUCUUAGAAGAUUUGGUUAAGUUUUUCCCCUAUUGUAACAAUGGAGGUACUUGGUCAGGAAUGUAUUGAGAACUUUUAAAAUUACUCCACCCUACUCAGACAAUGCCUUAGGGGAAGAGAAAGUUGAAAACUUCUGAUUGAACAAUGAAAAGUCCCUAACUCAUACUUAUAGUGAAGCUAAAACCUUAAGCUAGGUCUAUUUUUAGAUCUAAUACAAAAAGGUGCUUAGUACCUAUAAAGGUUAAAUUAGUACCUAAAAGGUCAAGAAACUUACAAAAGGCAAGCUUAACAAAAAAGGUGUGAAGUACUCAGUAGAUUUUAUCUAACCAGAGAAAGUGAGAACAAAAGAAGAUGAGAACUAAGAAUGGGCAGUCCUUGGAAAAAGUGUCUACUAUGAUUGGUAGUUGUGAAAAUUUAGGGGAGGUGAAAUAAGAGAAAAUUUCUUUAAAAGGAGAAGGCAGUUCAGGUAAUUCAGUGGGGAUUUGAAAUUAGUUGGAGUUAGUUGGAGUGAGUUGGAAUUCGGAGUUGAAGUGAGGACUAGAGCUUGCUUGGAGACGAUCUUGUGGUGAGUGAUAAAGACUGACUUGCUCUCCCUUAGGACAGGACAUCCCAGAAAUGUGACAAAAGGAAUCUGAAUGGAUAGAGAAAGGAACUUUAAAGUGUUUGGAGGUGAAAAUUUUUAAACCUUUUCAGAGUCUAUUGUUUUAUGAAAGUCUCUGUAUCUUAUUGUAUUUUGCUGAUUAUCUGCUUUAAGAUUUAAUUUUGUUGUUUUAAGUUCAUAUAUUAAUCUGAUCAAUACUAUUCUAUUACAUUUUAAUCAUUUUAAUCUACUGGAUUUAGCUUUUAGAUAUAUUCUGUUACCUUUCCCCUAUGACUACUGAACAAAAUAUUAUAAAAGCUCAUAAACAGCUUUUUCUUCUAUUUUGGCUUUGUUAAUUGUCACAAGAUGAUGGAUGGAUUCAAUCUGGUUAGCACCUUUUGGAAAAUUUAAUGAGCUAAAUCUCAUCUCAAAUUGAAUUUUAGAUUUUUUAAUAAACAGCUCUGACUAAUCAUUUGCCUGCCUCUGAGUUAUUUGUAUCAAGAGGUAAAGGGUCCAUUUAGUAGCUGAGGUGAAGUGUGAUGGCAUUAUUAUAAUCCCCACCUCCACGUUUGUAAAAAUGUAAAUGAUUGGCACAUAUCACAGUCUCAAACAAGAGGAGCUGGGAAGUUGUGUGGUACCCCUGGAUGGCUCCAAAGAGGGAGCAUCUACCAUUUGUAACUCUUCAGCUUACUCUACCCUUCCACUAGAAUGAUCUAGAUUCUUGGUGACCUUUUUUAGACCCAACACAAUGGUACAGAGGUUUGUGUCUUUUCUAGACUCCUCUGCCACAUUUUUGUAAUGAUGGCAGGUUUUUAAGAAUAUUUCAGCCAAGGUUGAAAGAUUAAUAUACCGGAAAAACUUGUGACAAGAAUCCAUUAGCCUCUAAAGUUUUUUUUAAAAUGUCAUACAGCAUCUCGUAAAAUAUGAUAGUGGGUUUGUUUGCUGUUGUCAUUAAAUGGGCUGAUAUAACUUUGGGGAAUUUGAUACUUUUUGAAUGUGCAUUACCUAUUGUACUAUUGUACUUUAUAAAAAGCUGUUACUUUGUAAAAAUCAUUUGCAGUCAUACUAUGGAUCAUGGCCAAGUUAAAAAGGAAAUAGAUCUCAUUUUUGGGGAGAGAAACCUUUGUCUUCUACCUUUAUUAUUAUUUUUUAAAACAAACCCUUACCUUCUGUCUUAGAAUCAAUAUUAUGUAUUGGCUCCAAGGCAGAAGAGUGGUAAGGGCUAGGCAAUGGGGGUUAAGUGACUUGCCCAGGGUCACACAGUUGGAAGUGUCUGAGGCCAGAUUUGAACCUAGGACCUCCUGUCUCUAGGCCUGGAUCUCAAUCCACUGAGCUAACCAGCUGCCCCUAUUCUACAUUUUCUUAGCUGACACAGUGUGCCAG